rnacentral:rRNA from 1 species
GUCCUUUAGAUAAUUUUAAUUUAAGGUCUAACCUGCCCAUUGAUAAGUUAAAAGGCCGCAGUAAUUUGACUGUGCAAAGGUAGCAUAAUCAUUAGUUUUUUAAUUAAAAGCUUGUAUGAAUGGUUGGACGAGAUAAAAUCUGUCUCUUUAUAAAAAAUAGAAUUUAAUUUUUAAGUUAAAAAGCUUAAAUUUAUAUAAAAGACGAGAAGACCCUAUAGAUCUUUAUAUAAUUUUUUUUAAUAUUAAUAAAGAAAUUUUAAUUUAUUAAAAAAUUUUAUAUUUUAUUGGGGUAAUAAAAAGAUUAAUUUAAUUCUUUUUUAUUAAACAAUUAUUAUUGAUUAUAUGAUCCAUUAUUAAUGAUUAUAAGAUUAAGUUACCUUAGGGAUAACAGCGUAAUUUUUUUAGAGAGUUCUUAUCAAUAAAAGAGUUUGCGACCUCGAUGUUGGAUUAAAAGUAAUUCUAGGUGUAGAAGUUUAGAGUUUUGGUCUGUUCGACCAUUAAAUUUUU